rnacentral:tRNA from 1 species
GGGCCGGUGACCGAUUGGUAAAGGUCUAUUCCUGGCAGGGAUUUGUUUGCGGGUUCGAUUCCCGCCCGGCCCU